rnacentral:lncRNA from 1 species
CCGGCGCCGAUGGUAGCUUGGUGGAUGAAACGUGCAUAGCGCGAGCACUGACGCAGUUGCUCGCUAUACUCAACGAAAUACCCGUCAGUUCGAGGAAGUACGAGAUCGUCCGGUCGUACGCCGAGAAAUUGAUGGAUGAAAAUCUAGAGGAGGGCUACGAGCCGUUACGGAAAGUGAACGCCAAGGUUCUCUCCGCCGCGUUUUCACGGGCACUUCAACAACUGCAAUCGGCAGCGGUGGCGGCGGCGAAGUAUGAUAUUGAGAAAAAUACCACNGGUCGGCAGCGGUGGCGGCGGCGAAGUAUGAUAUUGAGAAAAAUACCACCACCGUUGGAGAUGUAACGAGAAAGGGCGGUGGCUACUUUGGGUUGAACCGGGUGAUCAAAACGGUUGGCCAUUACGGCGAUUUUGCUUGGACUCAGUUCACGAAACCGAAAACGCGGUUGCGGGUUUCGGCUGAGAAGUUGUCAGCUGAGUUGCUUUGGCUGGCGGAGAAACUAGUGGCGUGUGGAAGCGCUGAUGAAGCUGUGC